GAUGAAGAACGUAGCGAAACGCGAUAAGUAAUGUGAAUUGCAGAAUCCAGUGAAUCAUCGAAUCUUUGAACGCACAUUGCGCCCGCCAGCAUUCUGGCGGGCAUGCCUGUUCGAGCGUCAUUUCAACCCUCGACCUCCCCUUGGGGAGGUCGGCGUUGGGGACCGACAGCACACCGCCGGCCCUGAAAUGGAGUGGCGGCCCGUCCGCGGCGACCUCUGCGCAGUAAUACAGCUCGCACCGGGACCCCGACGCGGCCACGCCGUAAAACACCCAACUUCUGAACGUUGACCUCGAAUCAGGUAGGACUACCCGCUGAACUUAAGCAUAUCAAUAAGCGGAGGA
rnacentral:misc_RNA from 1 species